CCUACGGGUGGCAGCAGUGGGGAAUAUUGCACAAUGGGGGAAACCCUGAUGCAGCGACGCCGCGUGAGUGAAGAAGUAAUUCGUUAUGUAAAGCUCUAUCAGCAGGGAAGAAAAUGACGGUACCUGAGUAAGAAGCCCCGGCUAACUACGUGCCAGCAGACGCGGUAAUACGUAGGGGGCAAGCGUUAUCCGGAUUUACUGGGUGGAAAGGGAGCGGAGACGGCAGUGCAAGUCUGGAGUGAAAGGCGGGGGCUCAAUCCCCGGACUGCUCUGGAAACUGUACGGCUGGAGUGCAGGAGAGGUAAUUGGAAUUCCUAGUGUAGCGGUGAAAUGCGUAGAUAUUAGGAGGAACACCAGUGGCGAAGGCGGCUUACUGGACUGUAACUGACGUUGAGGCUCGAAAGCGUGGGGAGCAAACAGGAUUAGAUACCCGGGUAGUC
rnacentral:rRNA from 1 species